GUACGUUUAACGUCAGAAAUGCUUAUUAAGUUCCUUUUUCCUUUUUGAAUUCCUUGCGGGAUUAUGCGGAGAGAUUCGGAGAUUCCGAGGGAUAGUUGUUAGAUUUUACUUUAUAUGGAAAAAUUGCUUGAAACAACGGUUUUGUCUUAAUUUCGUCAUUCUGAAUCCAACGAGACCAUCCGCAAGGUCAUAGCUCUAAUAGUAGCUGAGAUAUGGCAUUUUUGGAGCCCAUUUUUGGCCUCAAAAACGAGGUCCAAAAAAUACUCGAUUUCUUAGUUCUGCUCGGAUUCCCUUAUAACCCGGUAUUUUCGUGAUCUACUUGAUGAGAACAAUCCGCUGGUAUAGUUAGUUCGAAUUAGAAAAAAAAAAAUUUUCUGAAAAAAAUCCAAACGGGGGGGUAUACCCGAAAAAUGAAAAAACCCAAACUUUGAAGGCCGAUAUCUCAGCUUCUAUGGGAGCUAUCGGGAAAAUUCCAACGGUUUUGUCUUAGUUUCGUCAUUCUGAAUCCAACGAGACCAUUUGCAAGAUCAUAGCUCUAAUAGCAGCUGAGAUAUGGCAUUUUUGGAGCCCAUUUUUGGCCUCAAAAACGAUGUCAAAAAGUGAUAAAUUUCCGAAUUUUCAAAGUGCUCUCAUUCCGUUAUUUCUGAUCGAAUCCUGUCAUAACCCGGUAUUUUCGUGAUCUACUUGAUGAAAACAAUCCGCUGGUAUAGUUAGUUCGAAUUCGAAAAAAAAAAAUUUUCUGAAAAAAAUCCAAACGGGGGGUAUACCCGAAAAAUGAAAAAACCCAAACUUUGAAGGCCGAUAUCUCAGCUUCUAUGGGAGCUAUCGGGAAAAUUCCAACGGUUUUGUCUUAGUUUCGUCAUUCUGAAUCCAACGAGACCAUCCGCAAGGUCAUAGCUCUAAUAGUAGCUGAGAUAUGGCAUUUUUGGAGCCCAUUUUUGGCCUCAAAAACGAGGUCCAAAAAAUACUCGAUUUCUUAGUUCUGCUCGGAUUCCCUUAUAACCCGGUAUUUUCGUGAUCUACUUGAUGAGAACAAUCCGCUGGUAUAGUUAGUUCAAAUUCGAAAAAAAAAAUUUUUUCUGAAAAAAAUCGAAACGGGGGGGUAUACCCGAAAAAUGAAAAAACCCAAACUUUGAAGGCCGAUAUCUCAGCUUCUAUGGGAGCUAUCGGGAAAAUUCCAACGGUUUUGUCUUAGUUUCGUCAUUCUGAAUCCAACGAGACCAUCCACAAGGUCAUAGCUCUAAUAGUAGCUGAGAUAUGGCAUUUUUGGAGCCCAUUUUUGGCCUCAAAAACGAGGUCCAAAAAAUACUCGAUUUCUUAGUUCUGCUCGGAUUCCCUUAUAACCCGGUAUUUUCGUGAUCUACUUGAUGAGAACAAUCCGCUGGUAUAGUUAGUUCAAAUUCGAAAAAAAAAAUUUUUUCUGAAGAAAAUCGAAACGGGGGGGGUAUACCCGAAAAAUGAAAAAACCCAAACUUUGAAGGCCGAUAUCUCAGCUUCUAUGGGAGCUAUCGGGAAAAUUCCAACGGUUUUGUCUUAGUUUCGUCAUUCUGAAUCCAACGAGACCAUCCCCAAGGUCAUAGCUCUAAUAGUAGCUGAGAUAUGGCAUUUUUGGAGCCCAUUUUUGGCCUCAAAAACGAGGUCCAAAAAAUACUCGAUUUCUUAGUUCUGCUCGGAUUCCCUUAUAACCCGGUAUUUUCGUGAUCUACUUGAUGAGAACAAUCCGCUGGUAUAGUUAGUUCAAAUUCGAAAAAAAAAAUUUUUUCUGAAGAAAAUCGAAACGGGGGGGGUAUACCCGAAAAAUGAAAAAACCCAAACUUUGAAGGCCGAUAUCUCAGCUUCUAUGGGAGCUAUCGGGAAAAUUCCAACGGUUUUGUCUUAGUUUCGUCAUUCUGAAUCCAACGAGACCAUCCCCAAGGUCAUAGCUCUAAUAGUAGCUGAGAUAUGGCAUUUUUGGAGCCCAUUUUUGGCCUCAAAAACGAGGUCCAAAAAAUACUCGAUUUCUUAGUUCUGCUCGGAUUCCCUUAUAACCCGGUAUUUUCGUGAUCUACUUGAUGAGAACAAUCCGCUGAUAUAGUUAGUUCAAAUUCGAAAAAAAAAAAUUUUUCUGAAAAAAAUCGAAACGGGGGGGUAUACCCGAAAAAUGAAAAAACCCGAACUUUGAAGGCCGAUAUCUCAGCUUCUAUGGGAGCUAUCGGGAAAAUUCCAACGGUUUUGUCUUAGUUUCGUCAUUCUGAAUCCAACGAGACCAUCCACAAGGUCAUAGCUCUAAUAGUAGCUGAGAUAUGGCAUUUUUGGAGCCCAUUUUUGGCCUCAAAAACGAGGUCCAAAAAAUACUCGAUUUCUUAGUUCUGCUCGGAUUUCCUUAUAUCCCGGUAUUUUCGUGAUCUACUUGAUGAGAACAAUCCGCUG
rnacentral:lncRNA from 1 species